rnacentral:rRNA from 1 species
ACACGUGGAAACAGAUGCUAAUACCGCAUAACAACUUGGACCGCAUGGUCCGAGCUUGGAAGAUGGCUUCGGCUAUCACUUUUGGAUGGUCCCGCGGCGUAUUAGCUAGAUGGUGGGGUAAUGGCUCACCAUGGCAAUGAUACGUAGCCGACCUGAGAGGGUAAUCGGCCACAUUGGGACUGAGACACGGCCCAAACUCCUACGGGAGGCAGCAGUAGGGAAUCUUCCACAAUGGACGAAAGUCUGAUGGAGCAACGCCGCGUGGGUGAAGAAGGGUUUCGGCUCGUAAAACUCUGUUGUUAAAGAAGAACAUAUCUGAGAGUAACUGUUCAGGUAUUGACGGUAUUUAACCAGAAAGCCACGGCUAACUACGUGCCAGCAGCCGCGGUAAUACGUAGGUGGCAAGCGUUGUCCGGAUUUAUUGGGCGUAAAGCGAGCGCAGGCGGUUUUUUAAGUCUGAUGUGAAAGCCUUCGGCUCAACCGAAGAAGUGCAUCGGAAACUGGGAAACUUGAGUGCAGAAGAGGACAGUGGAACUCCAUGUGUAGCGGUGAAAUGCGUAGAUAAAUGGAAGAACACCAGUGGCGAAGGCGGCUGUCUGGUCUGUAACUGACGCUGAGGCUCGAAAGUACGGGUAGCAAACAGGAUUAGAUACCCUGGUAGUCCAUACCGUAAACGAUGAAUGCUAAGUGUUGGAGGGUUUCCGCCCUUCAGUGCUGCAGCUAACGCAUUAAGCAUUCCGCCUGGGGAGUACGGCCGCAAGGCUGAAACUCAAAGGAAUUGACGGGGGCCCGCACAAGCGGU